CGGCCCCGCCCCGCGCGCGUGGGCAGAGAACCCCCAGGGCGGGGGCAGGGAGGCGCCUCGCGACCCGCCCCCAGGCCGCCCGUCGCGGCGGGAGACUCCCGACCCCCACCCUCCGCGCGCGCUCCCGGCCGGCUGGCGUCGCUCCCACGCGCAGCUCUAUCCCCCCUUCAGCGGUGAGCACCCCGCUCCGGGGAGGGGCUCUCUAAGGCUCAGGUUGGCCACCCCUGUUCCAGUCCAUCUUGACCACAACCCACAUCAGCAGGUGGAAGAAAAAGUGCUGCUGUUCUGUUGGACUCAAAUGCAGCACUUCUUCCCCUUGCAGCCUGGUUUUCCAUGUAGUGAUCACAAAGCCAUUUGACAUUAGCUUGAACAGCGAAAUCUGCACACAGGACUCUCAACUCCAAAAGGGAUCACACCUUGCCAGUCUUUAGAAGCAGUUUCAUUACUCAAGUUCUGAUACAACUUGGUACAAACUUUAAGGACCCAACUACAAACAGGUGACUGAUUUUUGCUUGUUCACUGGUUGGCUGUUUAUGACUGAUGUAUCAACAGUUCCAAAAGGGUCUAUGUCUCUAUUAGGUUAUGAGAUAGGAAGCAGGAACCCCAACUUAAAAUCAUAUGAUUUGAAAAGUCUUCAUUCUGUAAUAAACCUGUUACUGAAUAAUAAAAACAUUUGGAUGUGUCACUUUGGGAAACUUAAAUAUCGAUAGAUAGAUGGGGAUUUGCAUUACUCUCUCUAUUAUCUGAAAGUUUGGGGUGACCUUUUGCAUUUGUAACUUAAAAAAAAUAAAUAAAAGAUUUGGUGCUGAAAUGCUGUUAUCUAAUUUAUUCCAGUCUGCAAUGGCUCAUUAAAAGUAUUUUUUUCUCUCCUUCUCUCUCACACGCACUCACACACACGUACAUUUGGGAAACAAGCCAACAAAAAGAGUCUCCUUUCAAAUGAAACUAUGAUGCCACUUCAACAGUGAUGACUUCACAUUUUCCUGUAUCUUGAUCUGUGCAGGUAACAUGUAAGGAUCCAUCCCUAAGCAAGAGAGAAAUAAAUAUUUACAUAUUGUACACCAGAAGUCUUGAAAAUAGAUCUUAACAUAGCAUGUAUGAAAAAUUUUAUUUAGGGACAUCAAGAAUCAACAUUAACAUGGCUUUUGGGAAAGGCAGAAAAAGAUAAACCACAGAUUCCCCACAAGUUCAUCCCCAGGUUGCGAGAGCCCCACAAAUAAUUAACUGCUGCUCUUUCUUAGAGAGAAAAUAUAAUCAAUUCUCAGAUGAAGUUCAGCAGCAGAAAAAGUCUAUUUCUCUCAAAUGUAGUUUUCAUAGGCACUCAGUGAGUUAAUGCACAGACAAGGAAAUAUUUGGAUUUCUGGUACCUUUUCAUAGUGAGAAUAGUUAAUAUGUCAUGAAGACCUCCUUCCUUUUUAUCUAAAUCCUGGAGUACAAUCUGUUUAAAAAAAAAUAAUAAUAAAAGGCUAAAAUUGAUUAUAUGCACUGAUACAAAGUAAGCUAAGCACAUGAACAGAUCUAGUGUCCAAAUUCCAGAAAUACAUUCGUCGUUAGGAAUGAAAUCCCUUGCUCUAACGUUCUAGGCCACUGCCCACUUGCCUAUUCUGCUGAUGCUGUCUCUCAAGUCUAGGAUUUUAAAACAAGAACCUAAACUCAGCCGACAAAUUGGAAAACAGUCUGAUGAAAUUCAGUAAAGACAAAUCCAAAAUACUACACUUAGGAAGGAAUAAUCAAUUACCCAAAUACAAAAUGGGAAAUGACUGCCUAGGAAGGAGUACUGUCCUCUGGAUAAAGAGAAGCAGUAACGGGCUUAAUUUGCAGCAAGGGAGAUUGAUCUUGCAUAGUAGGGAAAAACUUCCUAAGUAAGGGCAGUUAAGCACUGGAACAUAUUACCUAGGGAGGUUGUAGAAUCUUUGUCACUGGAGGUUUUAUGAACAGGUUAGAUAAACACUUGUCAGGCACAGUCUAGAUUAUACUACUCCUGCCUAAGUGCAAGGGACUGGACUAGAUGACCUAUUGUGGUCCCUUCUAAUCCUACAUUUCUGUGAUCCUAACUCUCCCAAAUGGAGGCGACAAAAUCACAAGUACUGCAUUUUCCAAAAAUAAUCAAAAUUGUACAUGCUGAAUGUUAUUUAUUCUGUUCAGAAUUUAUUACUGGUAAUUUAAGAUACAAGGUAGGUUGCAAAACAGUACGUCCAUGUGUACGUGCAAGAGAGAUCCAUACAGGAAGGGCUCAAUCCUUCUGUUGAGGUCACUUCAUGUAAAGGUAGCUCCUUGAAAUGGGAAAGGCUAUGCAAGGUCUGAUCCUGAAAGGGGCAGCGCACCUUCAACUCCCAUUAAUUUCAGUAUCAGUUGAGCAUGCUCAUCACCUCUUUUGAUCAGGUCCUAAAAUACUCACUAUGUGAACUUCAAAACACUCCCAUUUCCUUCCUAAAAAGCUCAAGUUAUGGCAAACCUUUGUCUUUGGCUACUAAGUGGUAUGAAAGUACCUCCAGCUAGAGGUGAUCAGCACCAUGCAGAGUGCAGACCAACUAAGUGUGCUUUUUGUAGGAGGCAUUUCUUCAAGGAUUCUGUUGAUUUGCAGUCAAGUGCUCUAUCCACUAGGCUAACAUUGAAUCCUCGCCACUACUCAUCCAGGGAGUAUUAGAUGUACCUGACUGAUUUUUAAUACUUCUGAUUUAGAGAAGUUGAAUACCAUGUAACGUACUGUGUGUUUUUUUCCAAAGCAAUAUUUGAAACUAAGAUCCUAUUCAAUCUAGGUGGACUUGAAUAGAUCUUGUAGCACUGUGUGUGCUAUUUACCCCACCAUUCCUGGCCAAAAAGUUCUCUCUUACCACUGUGAAGUACGUUGCUGGGCUGGUUGCUUGCUGCAUUUCAGCAGUGCUCUAUAUAUGAGCAGCCUGCAAAGCACUUGCAGGAUUCUUCAGCUUGAUAAAGGUGCUAGGUAAAGGUAGAAUUCCUUUUUUAAAAAAUACUUUGCUUGGAAAGUCAGUAUGAUCUGUUUAUGGGAAUGAUUUAAAAGCAAUUUCUAGAGAGAUUGGUGUAGGGACUUCCACUCCUCCAACAAAAAGUCUGUUUUUGUACAUCCACUGAAUUUCCAAAUAAUUCACAGCAAGAAUUUUAUAUUAACUUCUUGUAUGUACUCACCUGUGCAAAUUUGUCUUCCUCUUUUGCAGGACUUUUCCCUAGAGACUCAUAUAGUUCAAGACAUACAGAGGAAUUAUUUCCUGGGGCAAGUAGUGUGUGCUGCCUUCGUGCUGGCAAGGGAGUUCCUGAUGGAAACAGCACUGUGAAUUUGUCAGUCCCCGAUUCAUCUACACCCUAACAAACAAGAAAAGUUGGCAUGACAUAUCUAAUCUCUGAACUUUACAGGAGUUCACAUUUAAAGACAUUUGAGUCUAGAGUUUUAUUCGGCUCUACUCAAUGGGAGUUAAGCUAGCAAAAACUGAUUUUUAAUUAUCAGAUGAUAGCUACAUACAGUGGUCUCUGCUUAAAAGUAUAAUUCAGCAUUAAUACUCACUACCAUGCUGCAGCAUUUGCCUUUGUUGUAUUUGAAGCAUUUCCUAUUGCAGCUAUAGGAAAUACUGCACACGGAAUGGUAAAUUCAGCUAUUAUAGCAUAGCAAGGAUUUGAUCCAAAGCCCAAUGAAAUCAACAGGAGUAUGUCUAUUGAUUUUGAUAGGCUAUGGAUCAGGCCCUACAUAUUGAUUUAUUUAGUAGGAAGUUGCAAUGUAAUUGCUAGUGCUAGCAUGGUUAUUGGAGACUACCACCACUGUAAAUCAAUGAACAUAACAUUUCCAAGUGAGUCACCACCAAUAUUGAUCCAUUUUUGCAUUAGUGGAGUAAAAAAGUUUCAAUAUUAAACUAUGAGACUUACCUUAACUAGAAUAUCUUUGGCAGAACACUCAAUAGAUAGUGCCUCCUCCUCUAACGAGAGGUUCUCUUUCCCUACUAGGAUCCCUGCUUCUGUGGCUGCCCCAAUGGGAAUGACCUCAUCUGGUGUGAUAGAAUUCAGCAGCUCCACAGCUGGGAAAAGGUCUUUAAUCAGCUGUUGUAGCUUUGGAAUUCGAGCAGACCCACCACAUAGAACUACCUAGAAAAUAUUAUUCCUUAGUGACUUCAGAACUUUACAGAACAUAAGUGAACAUACAGCUACAUUGUGGAAGGUUAAAUUGCUCUCUAAUGUUUAAUGCUCUAUGACCCACUGUUU